UACGUAGGGGGCAAGCGUUGUCCGGAUUUAUUGGGCGUAAAGAGCGUGUAGGCGGCCAUACAGGUCCGUUGUGAAAACUGGAGGCUUAACCUCCAGACGUCGAUGGAAACCGUAUGGCUAGAGUCCGGAAGAGGAGAGUGGAAUUCCUGGUGUAGCGGUGAAAUGCGCAGAUAUCAGGAAGAACACCAAUGGCGAAGGCAGCUCACUGGGACGGUAUUGACGCUGAGACGCGAAAGCGUGGGGAGCAAACAGG
rnacentral:rRNA from 1 species